GACGAACGCUGGCGGCGUGCUUAACACAUGCAAGUCGAGCGGUAAGGCCCUUCAGGGUACACGAGUGGCGAACGGGUGAGUAACACGUGGGUGAUCUGCCCUGCACUUCGGGAUAAGCCUGGGAAACUGGGUCUAAUACCGGAUAGGACCACUGCCUGCAUGGGUGGUGGUGGAAAGCUUUUGCGGUGUGGGAUGGGCCCGCGGCCUAUCAGCUUGUUGGUGGGGUGAUGGCCUACCAAGGCGACGACGGGUAACCGGCCUGAGAGGGUGACCGGCCACACUGGGACUGAGAUACGGCCCAGACUCCUACGGGAGGCAGCAGUGGGGAAUAUUGCACAAUGGGCGCAAGCCUGAUGCAGCGACGCCGCGUGAGGGAUGACGGCCUUCGGGUUGUAAACCUCUUUCAGCACCGACGAAGCGCAAGUGACGGUAGGUGCAGAAGAAGGACCGGCCAACUACGUGCCAGCCGCCGCAGUAA
rnacentral:rRNA from 1 species